rnacentral:rRNA from 1 species
UGGGGAAUAUUGGACAAUGGGGGCAACCCUGAUCCAGCCAUGCCGCGUGAGUGAUGAAGGCCUUCGGGUUGUAAAGCUCUUUUGGCGGGGACGAUGAUGACGGUACCCGCAGAAUAAGCCCCGGCUAACUUCGUGCCAGCAGCCGCGGUAAGACGAAGGGGGCUAGCGUUGUUCGGAAUUACUGGGCGUAAAGCGAGUGUAGGCGGUUGCCGUAGUCAGGUGUGAAAGCCUUGAGCUCAACUCAAGAAAUGCACUUGAUACUGGGUGACUAGAGGACCGGAGAGGAUAGUGGAAUUCCCAGUGUAGUGGUGAAAUACGUAGAGAUUGGGAAGAACACCAGUGGCGAAGGCGGCUAUCUGGACGGUUACUGACGCUAAGACUCGAAAGCGUGGGGAGCAAAACAGGAUUAGAUACCCUGGUAGUCCACGCCCUAAAACGAUGUCAACUAGUUGUUGGGGAUUCAUUUUCCUUAGUAACGUAGCUAACGCGUGAAGUUGACCGCCUGGGGGAGUACGGUCGCAAGAUUAAAAACUCAAAGGAAUUGAC